AUGGGGUUCCCUGCUCAGCUCCUGGGGCUGCUGAUGCUCUGGAUCCCUGGCUCCAGUGGGGAUGUUGCAUUGAUGCAGACCCCACUCUCCCUGCCCGUCAGCCCUGGAGAGCCGGCCUCCAUCUCCUGCAGGUCCAGUGAGAGCCUCCUGCACAGUAAUGGAAACACGUAUUUGCAUUGGUUCCUCCAGAAGCCAGGCCAGGCUCCUCGGCGCCUGAUCUAUAGGGUUUCCAACUGUGACUCUGGGGUCCCAGACAGGUUCAGUGGCAGUGGGUCAGGGACAGAUUUCACCGUGAAGAUCAGCAGGGUGCAGGCUGACGAUGCUGGAGUUUAUUACUGCCACCAAGGUGUGUCCACACUAAGAUUUGCUGUUUUGUUAAGUGAUAAGCUUUUCAUCAGUACAGCUUCUUUUGGGAUGACUGCUCGAACAAAGUCAGAUAACCUGAAUAUACUGAAAGAGGCAGUAUAG